rnacentral:rRNA from 1 species
GACGAACGCUGGCGGCGUGCUUAACACAUGCAAGUCGAACGGAAAGGCUCCAGCUUGCUGGAGUACUCGAGUGGCGAACGGGUGAGUAACACGUGGGUAAUCUGCCCUGCACUCUGGGAUAAGCCUUGGAAACUGGGUCUAAUACUGGAUAUGACCUUUCUCCUUAUGGGGUUUGGUGGAAAGUUUUUCGGUGUAGGAUGAGCCCGCGGCCUAUCAGCUUGUUGGUGGGGUGAUGGCCUACCAAGGCGACGACGGGUAGCCGGCCUGAGAGGGUGAUCGGCCACAUUGGGACUGAGAUACGGCACAGCCUCCUACGGGAGGCAGCAGUGGAGAAUAUUGCACAAUGGGCGGAAGCCUGAUGCAGCGACGCCGCGUGAGGGAUGACGGCCUUCGGGUUGUAAACCUCUUUCAGCAGGGACGAAGCGUAAGUGACGGUACCUGCAGAAGAAGCACCGGCUAACUAUGUG